rnacentral:sRNA from 1 species
CUGCAGGACAUGGCCAGAUGUGGAGAAGCAUGUAAAUAUGCAUUGGCUAAUCCAUCAGUAUAGCAUAAUAAUUAUCAAGAUUUUUUUUGUAGAAGUUUUGCAAUUCUACGUAAAAAAAAUUCCUGAAAAAUCAAGUUAAAAAAAUAAAUGCUUUCUGGAUUGAUUUGUACAGGUUAGAGUUAAUGAUUGAGCCGUGUUGAAUUAUCCAAUUUAUAAUACUUUAAUUUAAUUAAUGUAUACAUUUAUGUAACUUCAUUUUUUCUUUAAAUUUUAGUUUCAUUGUUGUGGAUAUCUUAUUUCUGUUAAUACACUAAUAUUUAACUGGUUUUGUUUUUAUUAGUAUUAUUAUUAUUUACUACAUCAGCUUAAAAUUGUGUAAAAUAUGAUGAUACAAGUAUAGUUGGUAUAUACAUGUAUAGAACUAAAGUUACCGUAUUUACUUCAUAUUAAAUUGCUAUUUUUAUGUUCAUCCAAGUUUAAAGUAACUCCAUUUAUAUCCAACAGUUGCUGCUUAUAGUUCUUUGUUUGUUAAUAAAAUUGUAAACUGU